AUACGAAAGGUGCAAGCGUUGUUCGGAUUUACUGGGCGUAAAGAGAGUGUAGGUUGUUUAUUAAGUCGGAUGUGAAAUCCCGGGGCUCAACCUCGGAACUGCAUUCGAUACUGAUAGGCUAGAGUUUGGGAGGGGUAAGCGGAAUUCCGUGUGUAGCAGUGAAAUGCGUAGAUAUACGGAGGAACACCUGAGGCGAAGUCGGCUUACUGGACCAAUACUGACACUGAGACUCGAAAGCGUGGGUAGCAAACAGGAUUAGAAACCCCAGUAGUCC
rnacentral:rRNA from 1 species